rnacentral:rRNA from 1 species
CAUGCAAGUCGAGCGGAAAGGCCACUUCGGUGGUACUCGAGCGGCGAACGGGUGAGUAACACGUGAGUAAUCUGCCCCUGGCUUUGGGAUAGCCACCGGAAACGGUGAUUAAUACCGGAUAUGACCACUUCACGCAUGUGAUGGUGGUGGAAAGUUUUUCGGCCAGGGAUGUGCUCGCGGCCUAUCAGCUUGUUGGUGGGGUGACGGCCCACCAAGGCGACGACGGGUAGCCGGCCUGAGAGGGCGACCGGCCACACUGGGACUGAGACACGGCCCAGACUCCUACGGGAGGCAGCAGUGGGGAAUAUUGCACAAUGGGCGCAAGCCUGAUGCAGCGACGCCGCGUGAGGGAUGACGGCCUUCGGGUUGUAAACCUCUUUCAGCAGGGAAGAAGCGCGAGUGACGGUACCUGCAGAAGAAGCACCGGCUAACUACGUGCCAGCAGCCGCGGUAAUACGUAGGGUGCGAGCGUUGUCCGGAAUUAUUGGGCGUAAAGAGCUCGUAGGCGGUCCGUCGCGUCGGAUGUGAAAUCCCGGGGCUCAACCCCGGGUCUGCAUUCGAUACGGGCGGACUGGAGUGUGGCAGGGGAGAUCGGAAUUCCCGGUGUAGCGGUGAAAUGCGCAGAUAUCANGAGGAACACCGGUGGCGAAGGCGGAUCUCUGGGCCAUUACUGACGCUGA